AACCUCGUAUAUAUUUUCGAGAAAUCUAUCUACCAAAAACCCAAUUACUGUAAUUUAAGAAGAAGAAAAAAAUCUCUCAAUCAAACCCUGGUGCUAGAGAGACUCGUCUCUCACUCGAUCUCAACAAAACAAGCAUACAGAGACAGAGAGAAAGCAAGAAAGCAAGCAGCAGCAGUGUCUGUCUCUCUCAGUCGAGAUUGGAGAAAUAGAAGAUGGAUGCGAUGAGGAAGCAGCUGGAUGUGCUCAUGGGAGCGAAUCGGAACGGCGACGUAAGAGAGGUCAAUCGCAAGUACUACGAUCGUGAUGUUUGUCGCUUGUACUUGGUUGGCCUUUGCCCUCACGAGCUCUUCCAACUAACGAAAAUGGAUAUGGGACCAUGCCCGAAAGUCCAUUCCCUGCAGCUGAGAAAAGAUUAUGAAGAAGCGAGGGCGAAAGGUGUUGAUAGUUAUGAUGUGGAGUUAGAGAAUGUUAUUGAUAAGCUUAUUGUCGAGUGCGAUAAGAAAAUCGGUAGAGCACUUAAGCGUCUUGAAGAUGAGGACGCCAAGGCAGCUAUUGCUAUUUCAGUCACUGAGGUUACCCAGACUCCUGAGGUUAUUGAGCUGUCGAAGCAGAUUAAGGAGAAGCUGAAAGAAGCUGACAAAUAUGAUCUUGAAGGCACAACAGAUUUUAAGAUUCAAGCUUUGGAAGAAGUGGAAAAACUCAGAAGUGAAAGAGCAGAGAAGCAGUCUGCGCAACUUUUGGAGGCCUUCAAUAAAGACAGGGCUUCUUUACCUCAACCUAUGCCAAAUCCCCCACCAUCAGCACCCAUGCCGCUACCUACUCCUGAUCCUCGCACCCAGGAGAUGAUAAAUGAGAAGCUGAAGAAAGCGGAGGAUCUUGGUGAGCAAGGGAUGGUAGAUGAGGCUCAAAAAGCAUUGGAAGAGGCCGAAGCACUUAAAAAGCUUCCUGCCAGGCAGGAGCCUACUGUGGAUUCCUCCAAGUAUUCUGCUGCCGAUGUGCGCAUUACUGAUCAGAAGCUACGUGUUUGUGACAUUUGUGGAGCUUUUCUGAGUGUGUAUGAUAGCAGGCUUUUGGGCCCAGUUUUACGAGGAUAACUUUUGCAGCUAAAGAAUUGACCGACGACUUGCAGAUCAUUUUGGAGGGAAGCUUCAUUUAGGCUAUAUGCAAAUUCGUGAGAAACUCACAGAGCUUCAGUUUACGCAUUAAAAGCAAUGGCUAGAAUUGGCGUGCUGUGCUAUGUGGGAUAAUCAUUGUUGUUUUACCUCAUCUUUGGGAUGUCUUUAAGUCGGUAUUGUGAAUAUGUUGGCUCAGGUGCUGGUAUAAUAUUUCACAUUAUACUGUAGAGAUUCUCAGUUCAUAUUUGAUCUGAGUUUUUCUGACCUCAAAGAAGAAUAACCUGUUACUGUUUAUUUUUCUUUCCUUUUCCUUUCCUAACCUGGUAUGGCUGCUGAACUUGGAAAGGCAGUAACUCUUUGCAAAAGACACCUGGUGUAUUGGUGUCAAAUAUGCAAAUACAUUGUGUCUAAUCUGUAUUUGUAGAUUGGCAUUAUGUAUGCUAAAAGAUCAUUAGAUGUUGGAUGUAUCCUAGUAUUUAUCUUGUCAAAAGUUAAAAAAUUUUGUUUCAUGAUUGCAAAACAUCUGAUUUUUGCUGACCUUUUUUGGAAGAGAAUAUGUGGAUCUUGAUCAAAGUAUUACAAAAAGUUCUGAUUUGGUUUGUCAAAGAAAGCAGAAUAGAAGAUGAUUUACUAAACCAGAUUUCUUUCUUCUUCUUUUUCCGCAAUUUAGUUUGAGAAAUAUUAUUUGAGUCUAUUUUGUCAAAGCUGUAUUCUUGAACUUGGGUUAACGGUGAUGGUGUAUGGUAUUGUUGUGAUCUGGCUGUUGUAGUUGCAACUUCCUGAAAAAUUGAGAGAAAAAGGGGGAAAGAGGUAGGAAAAAGUAAAAUAACCUUCACUUGCUGUUUAUUUUAUUGAAGAUUUUCAUUAAUGUGUGUUACCCCUGUACUUGUUGCAUUUGUGCAUGUAUUUCAGUCUACAUAUUCCCUAUCAUUAACAAGUUUUCCUGUUUGGGCCUUUGGAUGGUGUUGGACUGCUUGUUUGUUUUGGAGUGCUAAAUUUAUGUCAAACAAUGCUCAACUGUUCAAACAUUUGCAGUUGGAUAUAGCUGUUCCACUCAUUAAACCAGUGGCAGUUUUCAUUUGGGCUUAAUCAUCUGUAUAUCAAGUGAAGUGAUAUUUCAUUUUAUUAAAGAAUGAUUUUCAAUUCUUCACAAUUAAUUUUCUAGGAAAACAAGCACCGCAAGGGUGACCGGUACGAUGAUAGAAG